UUGGCUCAGAACGAACGCUGGCGGCAGGCCUAACACAUGCAAGUCGGACGGUAGCACAGGGGAGCUUGCUCCCCGGGUGACGAGUGGCGGACGGGUGAGUAAUGUCUGGGAAACUGCCCGGUGGAGGGGGAUAACUACUGGAAACGGUAGCUAAUACCGCAUAACGUCUUCGGACCAAAGUGGGGGAUCUUCGGACCUCACGCCACCGGAUGUGCCCAGAUGGGAUUAGCUGGUAGGUGGGGUAACGGCUCACCUAGGCGACGAUCCCUAGCUGGUCUGAGAGGAUGACCAGCCACACUGGAACUGAGACA
rnacentral:rRNA from 1 species